CCAGGCAUUGCAGUUUAUCAGAAACAACAACAGCAACACACUCCCAAUCACUGCGAUCAAGCAAACUGCAGUCAUUAUUGUGUCACCAGUUUUGUGUCGGACUACAAGUGUUUCUGUCCUGAUGGCUCCCACUUGUUGAAUGACGAAAAAACAUGUUCAGUCGGUGUUGAAAGAUGUAAUGACAGUUACUGUAAUUACAAUGGACAUUGUGUGAAGGAAGGCAACACAAAUAAAUGUUUAUGUCGUAGUGACCGCACUGGAUCUCAAUGCACUGACGUUGUUCACAAGACUCUGUCUUGUCCCAGCACUCGAUGCCACAGCCGUGGACAAUGUUAUAUCUCAGUAGAAGGUCACU